rnacentral:rRNA from 1 species
AUUGAACGCUGGCGGCAUGCCUUACACAUGCAAGUCGAACGGUAACAGGUCUUCGGAUGCUGACGAGUGGCGAACGGGUGAGUAAUACAUCGGAACGUGCCCGAUCGUGGGGGAUAACGAGGCGAAAGCUUUGCUAAUACCGCAUACGAUCUACGGAUGAAAGCGGGGGAUCUUCGGACCUCGCGCGGACGGAGCGGCCGAUGGCAGAUUAGGUAGUUGGUGGGAUAAAAGCUUACCAAGCCGACGAUCUGUAGCUGGUCUGAGAGGAUGAUCAGCCACACUGGGACUGAGACACGGCCCAGACUCCUACGGGAGGCAGCAGUGGGGAAUUUUGGACAAAGGGCGAAAGCCAGAUCCAGCCAUGCCGCGUGCAGGAUGAAGGCCUUCGGGUUGUAAACUGCUUUUGUACGGAACGAAAAGCCUCUUUCUAAUAAAGAGAGGUCAUGACGGUACCGUAAGAAUAAGCACCGGCUAACUACGUG